rnacentral:rRNA from 1 species
GAUGAACGCUGGCGGCGUGCCUAAUACAUGCAAGUCGAGCGAACAGACGAGGAGCUUGCUCCUCUGACGUUAGCGGCGGACGGGUGAGUAACACGUGGAUAACCUACCUAUAAGACUGGGAUAACUUCGGGAAACCGGAGCUAAUACCGGAUAAUAUAUUGAACCGCAUGGUUCAAUAGUGAAAGACGGUUUUGCUGUCACUUAUAGAUGGAUCCGCGCCGCAUUAGCUAGUUGGUAAGGUAACGGCUUACCAAGGCAACGAUGCGUAGCCGACCUGAGAGGGUGAUAGGCGACACUGGAACUGAGACACGGUCCAGACUCCUACGGGAGGCAGCAGUAGGGAAUCUUCGGCAGUGGGCGAAAGCUUGACGGAGCAACGCCGCGUGAGUGAUGAAGGUCUUCGGAUCGUAAUGCUCUGUUAUGAGGGAAGAACAAAUGUGUAAGUAACUAUGCACGUCUUGACGGUACCUAAUCAGAAAGCCACGGCUAACUACGUG